rnacentral:rRNA from 1 species
UGGCUCAGGACGAACGCUGGCGGCAUGCUUUACACAUGCAAGUCGAACGGCAGCGGGGGCUUCGGCCUGCCGGCGAGUGGCGAACGGGUGAGUAAUGCAUCGGAACGUGCCCAUGUCGUGGGGGAUAACGUAUCGAAAGGUACGCUAAUACCGCAUACGCCCUGAGGGGGAAAGCGGGGGAUUCUUCGGAACCUCGCGCGAUUGGAGCGGCCGAUGUCGGAUUAGCUAGUAGGUGAGGUAAAGGCUCACCUAGGCGACGAUCCGUAGCGGGUCUGAGAGGAUGAUCCGCGCCACACUGGGACUGAGACACGGCCCAGACUCCUACGGGAGGCAGCAGUAGG